AACGAACGCUGGCGGCAGGCCUAACACAUGCAAGUCGAGCGGCAGCGGGACCUUCGGGUCGCCGGCGAGCGGCGGACGGGUGAGUAAUGCCUAGGAAUCUGCCUGUUAGUGGGGGAUAACGCGGGGAAACUCGCGCUAAUACCGCAUACGUCCUACGGGAGAAAGUGGGGGACCCUCGGGCCUCACGCUAACAGAUGAGCCUAGGUCGGAUUAGCUAGUUGGUGGGGUAAUGGCCCACCAAGGCGACGAUCCGUAACUGGUCUGAGAGGAUGAUCAGUCACACUGGAACUGAGACACGGUCCAGACUCCUACGGGAGGCUGCAGUGGGGAAUAUUGGACAAUGGGCGAAAGCCUGAUCCAGCCAUGCCGCGUGUGUGAAGAAGGUCUUCGGAUUGUAAAGCACUUUAAGUCGGGAGGAAGGACUGUAGGCUAAUACCUUGCAGUUUUGACGUUACCGACAGAAUAAGCACCGGCUAACUUCGUGCCAGCAGCCGCAGUAA
rnacentral:rRNA from 1 species